UACAGAGGUCCCAAGCGUUGUUCGGAUUCACUGGGCGUAAAGGGUGCGUAGGCGGUCGGGUAAGUCUGACGUGAAAUCUUCAAGCUCAACUUGGAAACUGCGUCCGAUACUAUUCGGCUAGAGGAAUGGAGGGGAGACUGGAGUACUUGGUGUAGCAGUGAAAUGCGUAGAUAUCAAGUGGAACACCGGUGGCGAAGGCGGCAUCCUGGACCGACACUGACACUGAGGAGCGAAAGCCAGGGGAGCAAACGGG
rnacentral:rRNA from 1 species